UGUGGUUGAUCCUACCAGUGUCAAAAGCUUGUCUCAAAGAUUAAGCCAUGCAUGUGUAAGUAUUUGCUAAUUCAAACUAUGAAACUACAAAUGGCUCAUUAAAUCAAUUAUAGUUUGUUUGAUGGUAUCUACUACUCAAAUGACCAUAGUAAUUCUAGAGCUAAUACAUGUAACAAACCUAACUUCUAGAAGGGAUGCAUUUAUUAGAUAAAAGGUUGACACAGGCUUUAACCAUUGCUCUAAUGAUUCAUAAUAACUCAAUAAAUUGUGCGGCCUUUAUGUCGAUGAUGCAUCAUUCAAAUUUCUACCUUAUCAACUUUCGAUGGUAGGAUAGUGGCCUACCAUGGUGGUGACGGGUAGCAGAGAAUUAGGGUUCAAUCCGAAGAGAGACCUUAAGAAACAACUAGCAAAUCUAAAGAAGGUAGCAAGUGUGCAAAUUACUCAAUCCUGACAUGGGGUGGUAGUCACAAUAAAUAAUAAUAUCAGGCUCUAUGAGUUCGGUAAUUGAAAUGAGUACAAUCUAAAUCCUUAAUAAGCAUCCAUUGGAGGGCAAGUCUAGUGCCAGUAGCUAUGGUAAUUCCAGUUGUUGCAGUUAAAAAGCUCAUGGUCAAAAUUAGGGUUGGGUCAUCUGGCCUACCCACAGUGAGCAUCAAUCUACUGAUCCCUUUGAUAGAAAUGUGCUCAUAGCCUUAACUGGGUCAGGUCAUUCCUCUAGUGCUGCUAUUUUGAAAAAAAUAGAGUGGCUCAAAGUAAGGCCUAUACUUGUAUACAUUAGCAUAAGAUAACAUUAUAGGAUUUCUAUAUAUGGUGGCCUUUGAGAUCAAAGUAAAAAUUAACAAGGAUAGUCGGGGGCAUUCGUAUUUCAUAGUCAGAGAUGAAAUUUUUGGAUUUAUGAAAGAUGAACAAUUGUGAAAGCAUUUAUCAAGGAUGUUUUCAUUAAUCAAAAAUAAAAGUUACGAAGCUUGAAGAUGAUUAGAUAUCAUCCUAGUCUCAACCAUAAAUGAUGUCGACCAAAGGACCGAUGGAUGUUACUUUUCCAAGACUCCGUCGACACCUUAUGAGAAAUCAAAGUCUUUGGGUUUUGGGGAGAGUAUGGUUACAAGGCUAAAACUUAAAGGAAUUGAUGGAAGGGCACCACCAAGAGUGCAACCUAUGGCUUAAUUUGAAUCAAUACAGGGAAACUUACCAGGUUUAGACAUAGUAAAGAUUGAUAGACUAAGAGUACUUUCUUGAUUCUAUGGGAGGUGGUGCAUGGUAAUUCUUAGUUAGUGGAGUGAUUUGUCUAGUUAAAUCAAAUUAUGAACAAGACCUCAGCUUGCUAACUAGCUAUAAUGGAGGUGAUCCUUUGUGGCUAGCUUCUUAAAGGGACUAUGGCUACUUAAGCUAAGGAAGUUCAAGGCAAUAACAGGUUUAUGAUGCCCUUAGAUGUUUUAGGUUGGCAAGUGUGCUACAUGAUGUAUUCAAUGAGUCUUAGCCUUGGCUAAUAGGUUCGGGUAAUCUUUGAAAUUUCAUCAUGCUAGGGAUAGUAAAUGCAAGCAUCAGCUCAAUGUUGACUACAUCCUUGCCCUUUUUACACACCGCCCAUCCUACUGAUUGAAUGUCUAGUGAAGUGUUUGGAUCAUGGUGACGUGGAUGGUUUGCUACCUACGACAUCAUGGGAAGUCCACUGAACUUUAUCAUUUAGAAGAGAGAGAGGUUGUAACCAUGUUUAUGUAGGUGAACCUAGGGAAG
rnacentral:rRNA from 1 species